CGUGGUUUUCAAUGAAAAAUCUCAGAAUUUGGAUUAUUUUUCGGGGCAAAACUGUCAAUAUUGUGAUCAAAUUCAAAUUUUAUCGAAAAAUGCCACGUGGCGGCCGUUUCUAGUGAGCUGCUCAUUGGAGCGCACUUGCAUCAAGCGGUCGGCGGGAAUUUUGAAUUUUUG
ensembl:ncRNA Y38F2AL.11 ncRNA